GACGAACGCUGGCGGCGUGCUUAACACAUGCAAGUCGAACGAUGAAGCCGGAGCUUGCUCUGGUGAAUUAGUGGCGAACGGGUGAGUAACGCGUGAGUAACCUGCCCUUGACUCUGGGAUAACUGCUAGAAAUGGUAGCUAAUACCGGAUACGACCCUCGGAGGCAUCUCCAGGGGGUGGAAAGAAUUUCGGUCAAGGAUGGACUCGCGGCCUAUCAGCUAGUUGGUGAGGUAACGGCUCACCAAGGCGACGACGGGUAGCCGGCCUGAGAGGGUGGCCGGCAACACUGGGACUGAGACACGGCCCAGACUCCUACGGGAGGCAGCAGUGGGGAAUAUUGCACAAUGGGCGCAAGCCUGAUGCAGCAACGCCGCGUGAGGGAUGACGGCCUUCGGGUUGUAAACCUCUUUUAGUAGGGAAGAAGCGAAAGUGACGGUACCUGCAGAAAAAGCACCGGCUAACUACGUGCCAGCAGCCGCCGUAA
rnacentral:rRNA from 1 species